AUGGUCGACGCUCCGGACGGCGGCGCGCGCGCCAACGGCGAGGCCACCUCCUCCCACUCAUCUUCCGGAGAGGAGGACACUCCCCCGGUCGUGCACUGCGGCAUCGUCAACGAUGGCCAGCCGCUGCCCCGACGCCCCCUGGACGACGCGACGCGCGUCCGUGAGAGAUGGUGGCCGCGCCAGACGACGGAGGACGCCGCGCGCCGCCUGGUGGCGUGGACAAGGGACGGCGGCUCCGUCCGCGCGCUGCUCGUCGUGUCGGUUGGAUCCAUGGCCUCCGUGCCGCUGACUGUCCUCCUAAUCUUCACAUUCCUCCUCGCGGCGGCGACGACGACCGCCAUCAUCACUUCGAUCGUAAUGUCCCUGGCUGCCGCCGGAGGAUUCAUGUCUGUGCUGUUCGCUUUCGCGGCGGCGAUGUACAUCGGGGCAGUGUCAGUCGCCAUCAUUGUUAUUUCAGCAACGACCGUGGCAACAGUCGUUGCCAUCACGAUUGCCAGUGGUUGGGUCGCGUUCUUCUGGAUUCUUUGGUUUUCUGCUAAGAGAUGCAUGGGCCUUGCUUAG
rnacentral:rRNA from 1 species